rnacentral:rRNA from 1 species
AGUGAACGCUGGCGGUAGGCCUAACACAUGCAAGUCGAACGGCAGCACAGUAAGAGCUUGCUCUUACGGGUGGCGAGUGGCGGGCGGGUGAGGAAUACAUCGGAAUCUACUUUUUCGUGGGGGAUAACGUAGGGAAACUUACGCUAAUACCGCAUACGACCUACGGGUUAAAGCAGGGGAUCUUCGGACCUUGCGCGAUUGAAUGAGCCGAUGUCGGAUUAGCUAGUUGGCGGGGUAAAGGCCCACCAAGGCGACGAUCCGUAGCUGGUCUGAGAGGAUGAUCAGCCACACUGGAACUGAGACACGGUCCAGACUCCUACGGGAGGCAGCAGUGGGGAAUAUUGGACAAUGGGCGCAAGCCUGAUCCAGCCAUACCGCGUGGGUGAAGAAGGCCUUCGGGUUGUAAAGCCCUUUUGUUGGGAAAGAAAAGCAGCAGGUUAAUACCCCGCUGUUCUGACGGUACCCAAAGAAUAAGCACCGGCUAACUUCGUG